CUGCCAAGUAAAUAGAGAGCCCUAGAAGAAGGACAACAAUGAUGAAACAGUUGAAUGUUACAGAUGGUGAAAAGUGGUGCCUUCUCUCUGAAACAAAGAACCAUUGAAGAAUUGUUGAAGCAACGGAUGGAGAGUCGCCCAGCAACCUGAUUCCCCAGGAAUGACAAGUAACAUUCCUUGAUUCAGAGCGCUAUUGAAGAUACUAAGGGAGAAGUGUGUUGCCAGAUGACCUUCUGAGGCCCCCAGAAGGAGGAUGCAGAGAGGGAAUCCACGUCAACAAGGCUGGUCUCCAUGAACAGGAGCAGGAAAUAACAUUUUCUGUGACCUACUAUGGACCAGGGGAUCUACAGACAUUUUAUUUAGCCUUGCCUCACAGCCUUGAGAGGUGGGUAUUAUCAUCCCAAUUUUGCAGGUGGGAAAACCAAGUCUGGGAUUAAGUAACUUGAUCAAGGUGGGAUUUGAGCCCAGGUAUGCUGCCUCUAAAAUCUGUGGUUUGGG